AGGCUGUGAAAGAGUUCCUGGAGAGAAUGUGGCGUGCUAGAUGCAGGAACUAGUGGUGUGAAAGAUGAUGAUUGUCCUCUUUGUUGUUUGUGUUUUUUCGUAUUUUCCUUACAGGCGCUGCCGAUUCAAAGGCCUGACGCAGAAGAAAUUCUUGCGUCACCUGCAACAUCAAGAUCAAGAUCAGUAUCAGUGUUGAUACUUGAUAGUGGACACAGCUGAUUCAGCACGUCACCCUGACCUUGCCCACCCAAUAGUGCCACCGCCCACUCCCGGUACAGUGUCUGGUGUCGUCACCCUUCGCUCGUAGAGGAGAAAAUGAUGAGAUCAGCCUUGAUGAAGUCCACCUGGAUUGGACCUUUCGGCAGAGCUGAAGACUUGGCUCGACAAAUACAACAAAAGUGGACAGUGGAAGGAACAGUUCGAAAAAUUACUAUAAAAACUAGACAGUGGAGGGGCAAAACUAUCAUACAAGGGUUUCAAGUGUGGAUUAGAGAUGGAGGAGGGAGAGCUUUUGGAAUGAACUACAAUGAUCCAUUCAACACAGUAACCUUUACUAUCCCUGAUGAUAGACAAAUCAGCAAGGUCUGCAUUGAGUCUGAUACUUACAUACACUCUCUUGGCUUCAUGCUUGACAAUGGUGAAGUGUUAGGGCCUGUUGGAACUGCAACCCAAACCAAAGAAAAAACCAUACCGGAACACUGUGAUGACCUUAAGAGUGUAGUGCUGUGUGGAAUAUCAGGUAUUACGGUUCGUAGUGAAAAAGCUCCACUUAUUUCCAAUGUCAAGUUUAAUUUUCAGUAUUAGCUAUUCUAAAAACAGUAUUAGUGAACAAGGAACAAAUCAUUAUUUUUGAUUGGUAUCUAUUGUGUUACUUGUACUGAACUGUAGCUAUAUGUUGAAAUUAUAAUGUUCAUGUUACUGUGAUAUUCAUAGUUGUCGCAAUACAUCCAAUUUUUUUUCUAUUUCUGAAUCACAAAUUAAUUUCUUGUUGGUUAAGAACUGCAUUAUUUACUUUACAUUUUUGUCUUGUAAGAACAAUGAUUUCUCUUAAUGUAUAAUAGGGAUCGACUGAUUGUCAGCCAGGCCAAAUAUCAGUUAUUGGCCUCCUUGACUACUAAUAAUUGGUUUCGGUAUUGGCCCUGAUAAAAACAUAUCAGUCAAUCUCUAAUGUAUAAUCAACAUGAAUGUAUUCACACGUAAUAUUUCAAUUGUGUUAAUGAUUUUGUUAAGGUUAUGAUAUAAGAAAUGUAAUGAAAUUCAGCCAGUAGCAAGGCGUGAAGCUCGAGCUGAGUACCUUCCCUUGGACAGAGUAGGGAUGGCCUUAGUGAGAGGUGUCAGGCAUGCUCUCACACCUACAUACUGGUAUUAUGGCAACCAGAAACCUUGGAGUGUUGUUUCCUUCCCACAGCAUUGCCAAGACUCUUUGCCAUCACCUACAGGAGGGUAAAGACUCUUGAAGCCUUUGGACACAAAACAGUGAUGGCCAGGACAGACCACUGUCUCUUCAACCAGGAAGCCCAACAACAGUACACCACCCUUACAUAGAAGGGGAAGUCCCUCCUAACCACCAACAAGAAGCUACUGGAGCUGUUUAAGUCCCAGGCACCCCACAGGACACCACUACCACCAUCCAUCCCUGCAUACAUGACCCCUCUUCCCACCACCACGCCAGUCCAUCCUGCCAGCUCCAACUCUGCUCUCGUCAUGGGGAAUAGAUUCUUGCCACCAGUGGAACACCAAGAGGGAGAAUAGGAAGAUACUCUGCCUCAGGGACUCUGCAGCCUCCAAUUCAACCUGGCUCAAACAUUUACCUUCCACAAGCAUCAAACUCCAUUUGACUAAGGUUGGAGUGACACCACUCAACCACCAUCAGCCACAGGACAGCCUUUCUGGUCAAGAGGGCUGUAGGUUGUUUUGCUGUGCCAUCAACAACACCCACUGUGCUACCAUCCUGCAAACCCAUACCGACAGCCAUCCCACUACAACAGCAGCACCUAACCCACCAAAUACACCGUCCUCACCCAUCACUUCAUCCUCCUGUGGAAAGGCUUUUAGUUGUACCAGCAAGGUUUCUCUGUCAAAAGUAUUCACGGCACUCUGGCACACCCUCUCCAUGCUCCUGUUUGUCUUGCUCUGUUAAUGGCACUCACCUUCUUGCUAGGGAAUGACAGACCCCUCCUCCAGAACUCAAACAAAGAACAUGUUAAGGAGACACUCCCCACCAUCCUUGGGGUGUAUGUGACAUGGCUCACACUGCACCUCACUCUUCACUUACCUGACUGUCAUGUCACCAGGCAGGACCAUCCCUAGGCUUGUGGUGGGGUAGUCCUUCUUGGCCUCCGCAAAACACUGGUUUACUUAAUCCUCAGCUUUCCACCAUGGCCAAGUGGACACCUGAAGAUUGUUCUUCCCAUUCUUUCUUCACCCAAAGGACAUGGGAGUUUAUCCAUACCAUGGAAAGAGCUGACACGCUCCCUCUCUCCCUCUCAAAAGUUUACAUGGACAACGUGAUGAUCUCCAUAAGGCAAAAGUCCUGGCUGGUCGCAACCACCUGAAAGUUUGAUGUUUUUCCACCCUCCAGCCACCUCCAGACCUCAAACCAUUCAUCACUGCUGCAGUCAUCUUGGGUUCAAGAGGUGACACAGCCCUUCACUCCACAGUUACUGGCCACAACACUGGGCUCAUUCAAGUCAGACAAGUUACUAGGACUCAGCAUCAUUCUGUAUGAGUUCCUCACCCACAUCCCAUCUCCCUUGGAAGACAUCCUCCUACAGCUGUGCACCACCUUCUGGUCUUGUGGAAACUUCCUUGUCUGCUGGAAAUUUUCCACCUCAUCCCUAUCAUUAAGCCCAGCAAGGAGUCCACACCCCUUGCCUCCCACUGGCCCAUCACUUGGCUGUGGCGUAGUGGAUAAAGUGGUGAGCGUGGGAUUGGGCAGACAUCCAUGAGCAAGUUUGAAUCUCACCACAUAGCACCUUGAAACUUUGCCAUUUGUUGAGUGGUUUAAAAUUACCUACAUGUCAUGAUAUCCAUGUUCUAGGUGCUUACACCAAAGAUGCACUCAGGUGGUGAUAUGGGCCCUAAUAUGGGUACCACUAUGAAUAAAAUUGCCUGCGUCACUAAUGGGUGGAAACUGAACAACACUUGCCACACUCUUCAAGUAUACCUACAGGCACUAUAGGGCAUAACAUGGGAAAAAAAAAAAAAACCUGCUCUCCUGUGUAUGAAAGGACCAGUGCAGCUCCAGCCACCUCAUGAGUAUCCUUGAAUUCUUGAGUCACCUACCACCGGUGACAGUUUGUGAUGUCCCUCAUGGUAGAUCCAGAAGGGGUGCUUGACUCACCACCUCAUAAGGGCAUUUCCUACAAACUUGCAGGAAUAGAUCUAUAGGGACCAACCCUCACUUGACUCCAUGACUUGCUCACAGACUGUUUUUUUCAAGAGGCUGUGGUUUCUUCCUACAUCAUCAUACACUCCAUACUAAGAGGUGUCUUUUAAGGCUCCAUCCUAAGGGUGCAUUUACACCAAGUGAAUCAAAUGAAUUUCUUUAGGAUAACCACAGAAUAAUUUAAGAUGUUGGUGGAGCCUGUCACCAACUUGGACUACAGCAGAAACUAUGUCUGUUCGUGACACUCCGAGAGAAUACUUUGUCAAGCCAGGUGGAGCUGUUGAGUGGCAGGACAGAAUGAUCCACUGAUACAUGCAUUUACCAUGUAAGAAAUGGGCACACCAGUUGAUACCAUAUUAUCACAUCUACUCUUUAACAGUAUACGGAGUAUAUUAAAACAAAUAUAGGAGAAGGGAAAGACAUCGUGUCAUUGUGACACCCCUAUCUUGGUGAACUAUUGCUGUGUUAUGACACCUUGUCUUGGUGAACUACUUUUUCAUUAUGACACCUUGUCUUUCUGAAUAAAGUACAAUGACUGAGUUA